rnacentral:tRNA from 1 species
UCCCUGAUGCCUUAGUCAGUAAAGAAUCUGCCUAUAAUGCAGGAGACCCGGGUUUGAUCCCUGGGUUGGGAA